UGGGGAAUAUUGCACAAUGGGGGAAACCCUGAUGCAGCGACGCCGCGUGAGUGAAGAAGUAUUUCGGUAUGUAAAGCUCUAUCAGCAGGGAAGAAGAAAUGACGGUACCUGACUAAGAAGCACCGGCUAAAUACGUGCCAGCAGCCGCGGUAAUACGUAUGGUGCAAGCGUUAUCCGGAUUUACUGGGGUGUAAAGGGAGCGCAGGCGGAAGGCUAAGUCUGAUGUGAAAGCCCCGGGGCUCAACCCCGGUACUGCAUUGGAAACUGGUCAUCUAGAGUGUCGGAGGGGUAAGUGGAAUUCCUAGUGUAG
rnacentral:rRNA from 1 species